rnacentral:tRNA from 1 species
GGAGAGAUGGCUCAGUGGUUAAGAGCACUGGCUGCUUUUCCAGAGGACCUGGGUUCAGUUCCCAGCACUCAACAUGGUGGCUCAAAACCAUCUGUCUCCA